AAAUGAAGACAGAGAUGAAACAAGAAGUACCCACCAGCUUCCUACCCUCUGAAGCAUCUCAACCCAAGCCAGACGGACAACAAUUCCAGAGUCGUAAGAGGCCUUAUGAAGAAAACCGGGGACGGGGGUACUUUGAACACCGAGAGGAUAGGAAGGGCCGCUCUCCUCAGCCUCCAGCUGAAGAAGAUGAAGAGGAAUUUGAUGACACCCUUGUUGCCACUGACACAUAUAACUGCGACCUUCACUUCAAGGUAGCCCAAGACCGGAGUAGCGGAGUAGCGACUAUCCGCUCACAAUUGAGGGAUUUGCAUACCUAUGGUCAGGAGCCCGAGCCAGCUAUAGGGUCAGAAGGGGUCGAGUGUGCUUUGAAAUGAAGAUCAAUGAGGAAAUUUCCGUGAAGCACCUUCCAUCUACAGAGCCUGACCCGCAUGACUCCUGCAGCACUCAGCUAGGCGAAGAGCCUUUCUCCUAUGGCUAUGAUGGCACUGGGAAGAAAUCCACCAAUAGCCGGUUUGAAAACUACGGAGACAAGUUUGCAGAGAACGAUGUGAUUGGCUGCUUUGCGGACUUUGAAUGUGGGAAUGAUGUGGAACUUUCCUUUACCAAGAAUGGAAAGUGGAUGGGCAUUGCCUUCCGAAUCCAGAAGGAAGCUUUGGGAGGCCAACCCCUUUACCCUCAUGUCCUGGUGAAGAAUUGCGCAGUGGAGUUUAACUUUGGCCAGAGAGCAGAACCCUACUGUUCCGUCCUCCCAGGCUUCACCUUCAUCCAGCACCUUCCCCUUGGUGAGCGGAUCCGGGGCACUGUUGGACCAAAGAGCAAGGCAAAAUGUGAGAUUCUGAUGAUGGUAGUAGGCCUGCCUGCUGCUGGCAAGACCACAUGGGCCAUCAAACAUGCUGCCUCCAACCCCUCCAAGAAGUACAACAUCCUGGGUACCAAUGCCAUCAUGGAUAAGAUGCGGGUGAUGGGCCUGCGCCGGCAGCGAAACUAUGCUGGCCGAUGGGACGUAUUGAUCCAGCAAGCCACCCAGUGCCUCAACCGCCUCAUCCAGAUCACAGCCCGCAAGAAACGCAACUAUAUUCUAGAUCAGACAAAUGUUUAUGGGUCUGCCCAGAGACGAAAAAUGACACCAUUUGAAGGCUUCCAGCGUAAAGCUAUUGUCAUUUGUCCCACCGACGAGGACCUGAAGGACCGAACAAUAAAGCGAACGGAUGAGGAAGGAAAGGAUGUCCCUGAUCAUGCUGUGUUAGAAAUGAAAGCCAACUUCAUGUUGCCAGACGUAGGGGACUUCCUGGAUGAGGUCCUGUUCAUUGAGCUGCAGCUGAGGAAGUAGACAAGCUGGUGAGGCAGUACAACGAAGAAGGCCGCAAGGCCGGGCCACCCCCUGAAAAGCGGUUUGACAACUGUGGUGGUGGUUUCCGGGGCAGAGGAGGUGAAGGCGGUUUCCAGCACUAUGACAACCGAGGGCCCUCUGGUGGCAACCGAGGAGGCUUUCAGAACCGAGGUGGUGGUGGUGGUGGAGGCGGCAACUACCGAGGAGGUUUCAAUCGAAGUGGCAGAGGUGGCUACAACCAGAACCGCUGGGGUAGCAACAACCGGGAUGACAACUCCAACAACCGAGGCAGCUACAAUAGGACCCCUCAGCAACAGCCACCACCACAGCAGCCCCCCUACCCUCAGCCCAGCUAUAACCAGUAUCAGCAGUAUGCCCAGCAGUGGAACCAGUACUAUCAGAACCAGGCCCAGUGGCCGCCAUAUUACGGGAACUACGACUACAGUAGCUACGCUGGGAGCACACAGGGCGGCACGAGCACACAGUAG